rnacentral:tRNA from 1 species
GGCGGGGUAGAGCAGUUGGUAGCUCGCUGGGCUCAUAACACAGAGGUCAAUGGUUCGAAUCCAUUCUCCGUAACUA